rnacentral:lncRNA from 1 species
GGCCGACGUAGACCCUCUGCCCGCCCCGCUCGGCCUCCGCCCCCACCCAUCUGCGGGGGACCUUCCCUCGGGGUGGUCCAAUUGGAAGGCCUGGACAGUAGCCGCAGCCCCCAGGGCCCCGCGUGCUGCCUGUCUGAGGUGGGGGACAAGGGCCUCUGUCUCCAGGAUGGCGUUCCGGGAGACACGUCCCUGCCCAGCUCCUCCUCUUCUCAAAGACCUGGUGUCUGCCAGGCUCUCAGACAGAAUGGUCCCUCCCACCUGGAGACCCCUCUCCCAUGCUGCCCUGCUCACUGCACAGCGUCUGAGGGCAGGGGGCGGGGGGUGGGGACGGGAGUGUGGGCGGGGUGGGGGUGGGGGGCGGGUGGGGACGGGGUGGGGGGGCGGGUGGGAGGGGGUGGGGAUGGGGGGCGGGCGGAGGUGGGGGUGCAGGGGUGGGCGUGCGGGGGCAGGGGCGGGGUGGGGGCGGGGCAGGCUCCUGGCUAUGCCCAGCCGUCCCUGCGGUUUCUGUGUCUGCUGGUCUGGGGUCUGACCCGGGCACAGAGGGAGACCGGCCACAAACACAGACACGGGCAGCCAAGCCUCAGACGCUGCGCGGGCUGGGCCGCCUCUGCAGGGGGGCAGGAGGAAGUAGACAGCCCUGCGGCCCCUCCUUGCUCAGGGCCCUGCCUGGAGCCCAGAGACCCCAGAGACCCCAGGCAGGUGCCUGGCACCUCAGGGCCUGAGGCAGGUUCAGCCCCCAGGCCAGACCAAGGCUCCUGCCCACUGGACACACCAUCCGUCCUGUCCUCCUUCCCGCCCCUUCUCUGCCCCCACUCGGGUGCUGACCGGGCCCAGAGAGCUGGCCAGAGCCACUCUUCAAGAUUUCUGGCACCUUCCACCCACAGAGGCUGGGGGGGCACAGGCCGGGUCUGCCCGCCGACCACAACAAAGGUAGCUUCCGCCCACCCCCGCCUGCUGCCAGGUCCACCCGGUUCCAGUCUCCUCCUCCAAAGGCCACGUCUCCAAGGACCUGACCCAGCUUCUCUCACACCUGGACCCUCUCCAGAGACCCCACACCAGGCCUCCUGCCCUGGCCCCAGCCUGUCAGGCUCCAGGCACUGGGCUUCCCCUUUCCAUCACCUCACAGGCCUUCACCACCGAUCCCAUAAAAUCCCAUCAAAUCAGUGCUUCAGGCCGGGCGUGGUGGCUCACGCCUGUAAUCCCAGCACUUUGGGAGGCCGAGAUGGGUGGAUCACGAGGUCAGGAGAUCGAGACCAUCCUGGCUAA